UACGUAGGGUGCGAGCGUUAAUCGGAAUUACUGGGCGUAAAGCGUGCGCAGGCGGCUUUGCAAGACAGAUGUGAAAUCCCCGGGCUCAACCUGGGAACUGCAUUUGUGACUGCAAGGCUAGAGUACGGCAGAGGGGGAUGGAAUUCUGCGUGUAGCAGUGAAAUGCGUAGAUAUGCGGAGGAACACCAAUGGCGAAGGCAAUCCCCUGGGCCUGUACUGACGCUCAUGCACGAAAGCGUGGGGAGCAAACAGG
rnacentral:rRNA from 1 species